UAGGUGGUAGACCUGCCUGCCGGCAGGCAGGGCGGCCCGCUGUUAACGGGUUGGUCGCAGGUUCGAGUCCUGCCCGCGGAG
rnacentral:tRNA from 1 species